GCUGUCCAGCAUUAUGAGGUCUUUACUGUGACCCUCUCUCUCCUGCAUUAGCUAGGUGACUUGCUGGAGAAGAAGAACAUCAAACUUCUGGUGUACAUAGAAGCUACAGAACAAGAUUUCCUCAUGGUAGUAUACUGGUCCCUCAAAUCUUUACCUUUUUCUUUCUCUUUCUGAUCUGACCACAAGUUCUGUACACUACCCCAUUUCUCUGCUGAAGUUUUCUUCUUUCACUUCUUGUUCCCAUCAUUCAAUUUUCUACACUAUGGAAUUAACUCACACUAUCUCCACGUCAGUCUCCAAAUCCCCACCCUCUGCCUAAAUGUUCUUCCCUUCCCUUUCUUUUGGUCACUUUUUAUUUUUCUUCAUUUGGGUUGAAUGGUUUUGUGGUUGUCCUCUAGAUGGGGAGGACAGAACACUGAAGGAAGAGAAGAAAUGGGAUCUCAGAAGAGAUGUCACAAAUUUCCUACAUCCCAAAAAGAUGACAUUUUCAUAUAAACCAGAAAUAUGCCACUUUGUUCGAGAGAAACAGUAGGAUCUACUACUACCAGAUUUCUGCAGAUCAAGAUCGCCUAUAAGCAGCGGGUCAUAUUUAGAAAGUACAAACAUCAUUUACAGCACUCCCAUUUGGGUCAGAUUGCUGAAUAUAGAGUCAAUGGUGAAAUGCUGACUGCAAGGGCUUGUACAAGUGAAAAUUAUAGUACAUAUUUUUUGUUGCUCAUGUAUAAUACUUGCAUGCACACACUUUUAAAGAACUGAUAUAUAUCACAAUUCUAAUAAAGCCUGUUAAGUGUUAUGUGAGGCUCUGGGA
rnacentral:lncRNA from 1 species